rnacentral:rRNA from 1 species
UACGUAGGGGGCAAGCGUUGUCCGGAAUCAUUGGGCGUAAAGCGCGUGUAGGCGGUCCGGUAAGUCGGCUGUGAAAGUCCAGGGCUCAACCCUGGGAUGCCGGUCGAUACUGCCGGACUAGAGUUCGGAAGAGGCGAGUGGAAUUCCCGGUGUAGCGGUGAAAUGCGCAGAUAUCGGGAGGAACACCAAUGGCGAAGGCAGCUCGCUGGGACGUUACUGACGCUGAGGCACGAAAGCGUGGGGAGCAAACAGG